UACAGAGGUCUCAAGCGUUGUUCGGAUUCAUUGGGCGUAAAGAGCGUGUAGGCGGCUAGGUAGGUCCGUUGUGAAAACUCGAGGCUUAACCUCGAGACGUCGAUGGAAACCAUCUAGCUAGAGUCCGGAAGAGGAGAGUGGAAUUCCUGGUGUAGCGGUGAAAUGCGCAGAUAUCAGGAAGAACACCCGUGGCGAAGGCGGCUCUCUGGGACGUGACUGACGCUGAGACGCGAAAGCGUGGGGAGCAAACAGG
rnacentral:rRNA from 1 species